GUUGAACGCUGGCGGCAGGCCUAACACAUGAAAGUCGAACGAGUGGCGGACGGGUGAGUAAUGUCUGGGACACUGCCCGAUGGAGGGGGAUAACUACUGGAAACGGUAGCUAAUACCGCCUACCAUCGUAUGUGCCCAGAUUGGAUGAGCUAGUAGGGGGGGUAACGGCUCACCUAGGCGACGCUCCCUAGCUGGGCUGAGAGGAUGACCGUCCACACUGGAACUGAGACACGGUCAAUACUCCUACGGGAGGCAGCAGUGGGGAAUAUUGCACAAUGGGCGCAAGCCUGAUGCAGCCAUGCCGCGUGUAUGAAGAAGGCCUUCGGGUUGUAAAGCACUUUCAGCGAGGAGGCGUUACUCGCAGAAGAAGCACCGGCUAACUCCGUGCCAGCAGCCGCGGUAAUAC
rnacentral:rRNA from 1 species